UACGAAGGGGGCUAGCGUUGCUCGGAAUCACUGGGCGUAAAGGGUGCGUAGGCGGGUCUUUUAAGUCAGGGGUGAAAUCCUGGAGCUCAACUCCAGAACUGCCUUUGAUACUGAAGAUCUUGAGUCCGGGAGAGGUGAGUGGAACUGCGAGUGUAGAGGGUGAAAAUUUCGUAGAUAUUUCGCAAGAACACCAGUGGCGAAGGCGGCUCAC
rnacentral:rRNA from 1 species